UCCACUGUCAACCUAAACACAAGUGCUGUUUA
rnacentral:piRNA from 1 species